CCAAUAGCGUAUAUUAAAGUUGUUGCAGUUAAAAAGCUCGUAGUUGAAUUUCGGGAUCAGUACGCUGGUCGUGCCUUCGGUAUGCACUGGUGUCACUGGUUCCUACCUUCUGAAGAACCGUCAUGCCAUUCAGUUGGUGUGGCGGGGAAUCAGGACUGUUACUUUGAAAAAAAUUAGAGUGUUUAAAGCAGGCUCGCGCUUGAAUACAUUAGCAUGGGAUAAUGAAAUAGGACGUUUGACCCUAUUUUGUUGGUUUCUAGGAUCGACGUAAUGAUUAAUAGGGAUAGUUGGGGGCAUUAGUAUUCAAUUGUCAGAGGUGAAAUUCUUGGAUUUAUUGAAGACUAACUACUGCGAAAGCAUUUGCCAAGGAUGUUUUCAUUAAUCAAGAACGAAAGUUAGGGGAUCGAAGACGAUCAGAUACCGUCGUAGUCUUAACCAUAAACUAUGCCGACUAGGGAUCGGAUGAUGUUAAUUUUUUAAUGACUCAUUCGGCGCCUUACG
rnacentral:rRNA from 1 species